UAAUGAGUAGGGAAAGGAGAAAUCAGGAUAGCCCUGGAAUCACAUCGUUGUGGAGAACUUUGGUAAUAAAGAUUUUGGGAAGGGUUAGAAAUGUAAUCUCACUUUGAAAGCGACAUCUUGGGUAAGGGUCAAGUUACUAUCUUCUACGGGAUAUGCCUGGGAUGUAGUUGUUGGGUAUGGGUAUAACGGGUAUACGAAAAUAUAACUUUAUAGCACUAUUCAUUGAUAGGACAGCCACGGUUACCUUUGCUUGAGAUAUCUUUGCCUUCGUGUUGCUACUUCAUCUUACCUACUGUUUGGUUAAGGCCCAACAUUGCUACCUAACAUCCGGGUUAUUUCUCGUUCAGUUAUCAAUCACUUUUUUAUCCAAUGGAAUUUUGACACAUCAUCAACACAACAACCAAGAAAAAGUGAUUGAUACAACCACUAGAAAACACUCAAAAAUAGAAGAAAAUCAACAAUGAAAAAACUGAGUGGUAAUGAUCACAAAAAUCGCUCAGAUUUCUCUCCGAACGUUGCAUGUGAAAUAACAGACCAAUCUUGCCUCUGUGAGCACACUGAGACUAUACUUCCUCCUCACGCC
rnacentral:lncRNA from 1 species